AUUGAACGCUGGCGGCAUGCCUUACACAUGCAAGUCGAACGGCAGCACGGGAGCAAUCCUGGUGGCGAGUGGCGAACGGGUGAGUAAUAUAUCGGAACGUGCCCAGUCGUGGGGAUAACGUAGCGAAAGCUACGCUAAUGCCGCAUACGAUCUACGGAUGAAAGCGGGGGAUCGCAAGACCUCGCGCGAUUGGAGCGGCCGAUAUCAGAUUAGGUAGUUGGUGAGGUAAAGGCUCACCAAGCCGACGAUCUGUAGCUGGUCUGAGAGGACGACCAGCCACACUGGGACUGAGACACGGCCCAGACUCCUACGGGAGGCAGCAGUGGGGAAUUUUGGACAAUGGGCGCAAGCCUGAUCCAGCAAUGCCGCGUGCAGGAUGAAGGCCUCGGUU
rnacentral:rRNA from 1 species